rnacentral:rRNA from 1 species
AUUGAACGCUGGCGGCAGGCCUAACACAUGCAAGUCGAACGAGUGGCGGACGGGUGAGUAAUGUCUGGGAAACUGCCUGAUGACGGGGGAUAACUACUGGAAACGGUAGCUAAUACAGCAUACCAUCGGAUGUGCCCACAUGGGAUUAGCUAGUAGGUGGGGUAAAGGCUCACCUAGGCGACGAUCCCUAGCUGGUCUGAGAGGAUGACCCGCCACACUGGAACUGAGACACGGUACAGACUCCUACGGGAGGCAGCAGUGGGGAAUAUUGCGCAAUGGGCGCAAGCCUGACGCAGCCAUGCCGCGUGUAUGAAGAAGGCCUUCGGGUUGUAAAGUACUUUCAGCGGGGAGGCGUUACCCACAGAAGAAGCCCCGGCUAACUCCGUGCCAGCAGCCGCGGUAAUAC